rnacentral:tRNA from 1 species
GGAGAGGUGGCAGAGUGGUCGAAUGUACCUGACUCGAAAUCAGGCGUGGGCGUAAGUCCACCGUGGGUUCGAAUCCCACCCUCUCCGCCA